ACGAACGCUGGCGGCGUGCUUAACACAUGCAAGUCGAACGGAAAGGCCCUGCUUGCAGGGUACUCGAGUGGCGAACGGGUGAGUAACACGUGGGUGAUCUGCCCUGCACUUCGGGAUAAGCUUGGGAAACUGGGUCUAAUACCGGAUAGGAGCCAUCUUUAGUGUGGUGGUUGGAAAGUUUUUUCGGUGUAGGAUGAGCUCGCGGCCUAUCAGCUUGUUGGUGGGGUAAUGGCCUACCAAGGCGGCGACGGGUAGCCGGCCUGAGAGGGUGUACGGCCACAUUGGGACUGAGAUACGGCCCAGACUCCUACGGGAGGCAGCAGUGGGGAAUAUUGCACAAUGGGCGCAAGCCUGAGGCAGCGACGCCGCGUGGGGGAUGAAGGCCUUCGGGUUGUAAACUCCUUUCGCUAGGGACGAAGCUUUUUUGUGACGGUACCUAGAUAAGAAGCACCGGCUAACUACGUG
rnacentral:rRNA from 1 species